CAACCCUCAGGCCCGGCCUGGUGUUGGGGCUCCGCGCCUUGCGGCCCCCGAAAGACAGCGGCGGUGCCGUGUCGGCUCCAAGCGUAGUAACUUACCUCGCUACGGACGCCGGGCGGUCGCCUGCCGUAAAACACUCCAAUUUCAAGG
rnacentral:misc_RNA from 1 species